AUGGAGGAAUGUCAGCCCAUCACAGAGGGAAUUCAGUCCAUCAUGGCAGAGAGAGUGAGUCUAUCCUGGAGGGAAUUCAGUCCAUCGUGGUGAGAAGGGCAAAGCAAACAGGCGACAGCAUCACAGUAUAGCCUAGAAUUCACUGCAUAGACCAGGCUGGCCUGGAACUCAGAGUGGUCUACCCAUUUCCAAGGCCUGCACCACCACAGUCAGCCAAAGACUGAACUUUAAAUGGUGUGGAGCCUUUGGAAAAAUCCUAUUGCAGUGACUGGCAGUUGCAUUGAUGUUUCUUCUUGAUCCAAAGAAUGUUCAAACAAAGCUAGCAAUAGAACGCAUCAAAGACCACAAACGUAAAAGGAAAGAGCAGAGAACAUCAACACGCCACCUCGAUAAAGGACAAACCAGGAAUAAAUCAUGAAGUGACUGUCGAUAGAAAUUUAAAGCACAAAAUUUUAUUUUCUUUUUAAUCUGUUGCUAUAAAGCAUUUGCCAUCUCUGGAAACAGAGCGAACCUGACAGCUUUGUGUUGACACCCACAUUUCUCGUUAUAGACAUCUCCCGUGUCUGUCCUGAAGCAAAAAUAAAUUUUGCUUUUUAAGCUUUUGAUGAUAAAAAUCUCA